AGGAGGAACAGCCCCAGUGGCGGAGGCAGCUCUGGAGCCCUGGAGUCAGCUCCGGCAGGAACUCCCUCUGCAGGGCCUGGAGGCUCCGGGGCGGG
rnacentral:pre_miRNA from 1 species